GCUCCGAGCAGAGGCUUACUGGCGGGAACCGAGCGUUACCUGGUGUCACAGGAGAGGGACAUUAUACUCCUCUCCACCACAGAGCACUGGCGGACCAACACCAAAAUCAUGGUCCACAUCCAACCAGGCCUGGGCUGUCCCAGACUCACAGACAGACCCACUUGCACCAGUGCCCUCCCCAAUAUCAAGUAGCACUCACUCACCAUACUACUGCAGAACCUAAAGGCAAUACAGGAGCAGCUGAGAAGCAUGCAUCAAACUCCAUGAGCCACAUACAGUGCCAGGCCAGGUGUUUACUCUCAUCCCCUUCAUAUCAAACACAAACCAUCCUAUUAUCCAGUUUUCCUGUUGUCUGAGAACAAAAUGCACCUGCAUGAAGCAGCUGACUGAAACUAAUCUUUGGCAAGAUGGACAAUUAUGUAUGUGUGGGAAGUUACCCAAAAGAAAUGGUCUUAACUACAAAAGUCACCCUCACCUGAAGAAGUCUUCAGUGUAAUCAUCAACUCAGUUCAUGGCCUGGGGAUUUUUCUGGACUCUGCUUCUUCUGGAUACACAAAUAGCUAUAAUGGCUAGAAAUGCCUCUUAGUAGCUCCAACUGCUCAGGGGAUACAUUCAGUUCUAUUUUAUAGAGCCCUGGCCAUGGUGAUUUAUUCCACUGCAUUGUACCAGGGAUUGAAAGUAAAGGGUUUACACUCUGGCUGAUCAAACAUGGAGUGGCUUGUCUACUAAUAUAGAUGGGUGAUACAUGCACAGCAAUCUAAUGCUCCAAAAUCUACAGUGACUCCCUGUCCAAAACUAGAUGCAAUUCAAAAUCUUGGUCUUGAUCUUCAAAUCCCUGAGUGAGGUGAACCCAGAUGAUCUCAGGCACUUUUUCUCUGUGAUUUAUUACAGCAAUUACAUUUUUCAGGGACAAGGUCAGUAGCAAGGAUUAAACUUGCUGCAGGAGCAAGAGGGUGACUAAUCGCUCUGGAAUACCUUUCCAUCAAAAAUGGUAAUAACCAUGGCUUUGCAACUUUCAGACACAAAUAUUGUUUCAGCUAACACAGGUUUCUCUAUAUCCAUAUAUAAUGUGACAUCAAGAAACAUUUAUCUCAGAUGGUCCAAGUUUUCAGGAGCCUUUUCCUACAGAAUCACAGCCACCCCCAGGAAUACAGUAGGCCACUCUUUGUUGGCACAUUUCAGUGAUGUUCCUGUUAUAGGCAUUCUUACUUCACUAACUCCCAACACUGUCCACACUGUAAAAGUGGAAGCCAUUGAUAAGAAUGGAAUUAUCCUGGCGGAAGCACAGACUAAGCAGUUAACAGCUCCUGAGAUACCUGUUAUUGACCAAGCUUAUUCAAAACUGAGCAACAGUAUCACAGUGGAAUGGGCAGCUGUUCCUGGGGCUACCAGUUAUCUAUUGACUGCACAGGAUGGAGAGUCUUCCAUUGAAACUAUAGUCAUAAAUUCACCAAGCACAGUGACAGGAUUGAAGGCUAAUACACUGUACAAAAUCACCAUCAGAUCUAUAAACUCUGGAGGAAGAAGCCUACCUUCACCUUCAAAGAAGGCAAAGACAGUCUUGGCUGCUCCGGUCCUGUCUGUAAGUUCUCCAAGUUACGACUCCAUAGUGGUGAGCUGGGGAGCUGUAUAUAUGGCAGUUGGAUUCUCUGUGUCCAUCAUGAGAUCAGAUGGUUUAGGCAGUAUGAUGAAAGAGAACACCACCCAUACUUCCUUGGUAUUUACCAGUCUAGAUCCAGGAACUCUCUAUACCAUCAAGGCACAUGCCUGGAACAUUAAUGGAAUACCUGGAGAUGAUUUCACGUUAAACCAAAUAACAAGUCCUCAUGCACCAUCAGAUGUUCAAGUUGCUUUUGACAGUGGAACUUUGAGGGCCAUUGUUUCUUGGAUACCGACAGAGGGAACUUUAAAUUACAGUGUGACAGCCAGCAGUGGAGCCUCCAAACUGAACUGUAGCACAUCUUCCACUUCCUGCCCUUUGUCUUCACUCCAGUGUGGAUCUGAGUAUUCUGUUUAUGUUGUAGCCAGUAACGGUGCUGGAUCCAGUAAACCUACAGAUGCAGUGAGUUUAAAAACUGUUCCUUGUGCACCAGGAAGUAUAACAAUAGAAGAGGACAACCCUGGUAAAUUGUCAGUGUCAUGGUCUAAUGUAGAUAUUGGAGAUUAUUAUGUGGUUUUUGUGAAAAGCGAUGACGGCUUGGAAGUGCACUGCAACACAUCCCAUACCCAAUGCCACUUCCAAUCAGAUUGUGGUUUCACCUACUUCAUUAGUGUCUUCGCAUAUAACAAAGCAGGACAGAGUCCUUUAGGGGAUAUAUUCAAUUAUACGACUUCACCUUGUUGCCCCAGUGACUUUUACCCAGUGUUUGUGUCCAGCGAUACAGUUGAAAUUGUCUGGUCUCCUGUCCGUGGUGCUGAAAUGUAUGAAACAAAAGCUGUUGAUGGGGUUGGUGUAGUAUUGUGUCAUGCCACUGCCACAAUUUGCAUCCUGACUGCAUUGCAGUGUAACACCCAGUAUAACAUCACUGUGUAUUCUUACAGUGAAAUCAGGGGCACCAAUACAUCAUGUGUAUCUAAAUAUGUGGCAACAGCUCCAUGCAGUCCUGAAAUAAAAAACAUCUCACAGGAUGAUCUUUCCAUAAUUAGCGUGCACUGGCAGGCCAAUAAUGAUGACGCUAUAUACACUGUUACUGCUAGAGGAGAGGCUGGAUUGUGGCAUUGCACAAGUUCUGGAAAUUCCUGUAGCAUAACUGGUCUUCCCUGUGGAUCAGUUUUCUCUAUUAGUGCUAUGGCAAUUACAACAGCAGGGCAGAGCUUACCUAGUUACAGUGUUCCUUUAGAGACAGCUCCUUGUUGCCCUAAUGAUCUGACAGUAACUCAAGUGAUGCAGUCUAUAACAAAUAUCAGCUGGUCUGUUGGGGCUGGUGCAAAGACAUACAUAACAAUACUGGAAUCACCGAAAGGACCAGCCAAGUGCCACACUCUCCAAAACCACUGUCUCCUGGGAUGCAUUACAUGUGGCACCAACUAUACAGUGUCUCUGAAAGUGAUUAGUGAAACUGGUUUGGCCUCAGACUGCACAUAUCAAGACUAUUCUUCCAGUGCUUGCUGUCCUUCUGGGGUGAAAUUAUAUAGACUGGGCAAUAAUGGUAUCCGAAUAUACUGGCAAGCUUCUGCGGGGUUGAUAAGUACAGAUCUAUAUGGAUCAAAAGGCAAUUUCACCUGUACCCCUCCUUCAGGUUUGAGUUAUUGUGAUGUCACCGAGAUACCUUGUGGGGAUGUCUAUACAGUGGUAGUUUCUCCAGUUCCUGAGAAAGGAUCAAAGCUUACAUUUUGCCCUAAAAAAAUAUAUUCAGUGACUUGCUCUGGAAGUUCUGUUGGAAUGGGUACGAGAAUGCUUGAUCUAUAGAGGAAAGAGAGGUGCAGAAUAACAUUUUUCUGGAUAGAAUCAUUGGUUCAGACAAGCAGAAUACAGUUAUGCAACUCUAUUGGGCACCUGAAUCAUCACUUCGGGUCACUUACACAAAGCAUGAUGGAACAUUCUGAACACCAGUACUAAAUUAUUAUUAAAAAUGAUUUUUAUUCACUGUCAAAAGUUUCCCUCUUUAGGAAUUUUUUUUUAAAUAAAUGAAUUGCACUACUUAGUAAGAAAUAGCUAGCUUUUAUUUCCAAUUUAGGGUUUGAAAAGGUAGGAGAAUAUAGAAAUUAGUGUUGUUCUGUUUGAACUCCCCCCAACCUCCCCAAAAAAGGUUUUA